rnacentral:rRNA from 1 species
UACGGAGGGUGCAAGCGUUAUCCGGAUUUACUGGGUUUAAAGGGUGCGUAGGCGGGCCUUUAAGUCAGUGGUGAAAUCCCCGGGCCUAACCCGGGAACUGCCAUUGAUACUAUGGGUCUUGAAUUCAGUUGAGGUGGGCGGAAUGUGUCGUGUAGCGGUGAAAUGCUUAGAUAUGACACAGAACACCGAUUGCGAAGGCAGCUCGCUAAACUGACAUUGACGCUGAGGCACGAAAGCGUGGGGAUCAAACAGG